rnacentral:rRNA from 1 species
AACGAACGCUGGCGGCAGGCUUAACACAUGCCAGUCGAGCGCCCCGCAAGGGGAGCGGCAGAUGGGUGAGUAACGCGUGGGAACGUACCUUUUGGUUCGGAACAACUCCGGGAAACUGGAGCUAAUACCGGAUAAGCCCUAACGGGGAAAGAUUUAUCGCCGAAAGAUCGGCCCGCGUCUGAUUAGCUAGUUGGUGAGGUAACGGCUCACCAAGGCGACGAUCAGUAGCUGGUCUGAGAGGAUGAUCAGCCACACUGGGACUGAGACACGGCCCAGACUCCUACGGGAGGCAGCAGUGGGGAAUAUUGGACAAUGGGCGCAGGCCUGAUCCAGCCAUGCCGCGUGAGUGAUGAAGGCCUUAGGGUUGUAAAGCUCUUUUGUCCGGGAAGAUAAUGACUGUACCGGAAGAAUAAGCCCCGGCUAACUUCGUG